rnacentral:misc_RNA from 1 species
GACGGAGGAGGCUAGCGUUGUUCGGAAUUACUGGGCGUAAAGCGCGCGCAGGCGGCUUUGCAAGUCAGGGGUGAAAGCCCGGGGCUCAACCUCGGAACUGCCCUUGAGACUGCAAGGCUCGAGACCGGGAGAGGAGAGUGGAAUUCCCAGUGUAGAGGUGAAAUUCGUAGAUAUUGGGAAGAACACCAGUGGCGAAGGCGGCUCUCUGGCCCGGACCUGACGCUGAGGCGCGAAAGCGUGGGGAGCAAACAGG